UACGUAGGGUGCGAGCGUUAAUCGGAAUUACUGGGCGUAAAGCGUGCGCAGGCGGUUUUGUAAGCCAGGUGUGAAAUCCCCGGGCUCAACCUGGGAAUGGCAUUUGGGACUGCAAGGCUGGAGUGCGGCAGAGGAGACUGGAAUUCCUGGUGUAGCAGUGAAAUGCGCAGAUAUCAGGAGGAACACCGAUGGCGAAGGCAGGUCUCUGGGCCACUACUGACGCUGAGAAGCGAAAGCAUGGGGAGCGAACAGG
rnacentral:rRNA from 1 species